rnacentral:lncRNA from 1 species
CUGAUAAUUACGGCAAAAAGGUAAUAUUCCCAAAUUCAAAUGUGGGGAAAAGAUGUUCAAACUGAAGCCACAUUAUAUAGGUGACCACUUCAUGUAAUAACAAAGAAGAAAACGGGACAAACACUACAAAUACAUAUGACGAUAGAAGGCUAUGUUCGAAAAACAACAAAUAAAACUCAAAAAUCUUCAAAAAAAAAAAAAUACAUUAUGUGCCGAGAAUAAUCCAUCAACUAUUAAACAAAAGUACUUACUUACUUGGUCUCC